CCCUCCCCGCGAUUCUAUUCUACGCCGCUAUAAUCAGUCGUGCGGCGUCGUCGGCGACCUUGCCGCCUGCGGCGCGGACCACGCGGUUAUUAUACAGCUAACCGGGGCUUUGAGCUACAGCCUUCUCUUGUGGGGAGGCAUCCCCGUCCUCUACUUCGUCGCUGCCCUCUGCUGCGCCUGGACUGGCGUGGAGUGGAGAUCCAUCCACCCGCACUUGCCACGAUCUCUUCCUUCUCGUAGUUGGUUGCGGAUUUGCUUACUUUGGUGCGCCGCCCGGCAAUCCAAACAAUCCUGCUUGGGUUCGAUUCGCUUCGCCUUCGUCUUCAGCGCUCAAGAUCAGUUUAGCCGAGGUGCCGGGCGCGGUUUGGCUGUCCGGAGGCUUUUAGAGUUACUGGAACCCCGAUGCCCCAAGUGAAGUCCAGCUACGAUGGCGCCGGCGGGGACUACAUUAAGUGGAUGUGCGGCGCCGGCGGCCGCCCGGGCGGCGCCAUGGCCAGCCUCCACCGCGGGGUGGGCUCCCUUGUUCGUGACAUCAGCGACCCCUGCCUCAAUCCCUCCCCAGUUAAGGUUGCUAUUGACCCUUAUAGUAAAUUAGUUCUGCUGUUUAGUAGUAGUACUAUAUACUAUGGAUUGCUUGAUAGGUAUCAAUACUCCAUGCCGGUGACAAUGCCAAUGUAUCUGUUGCUCCCUUGUCAGUGACAUUGGCUGACACCCCCAACCGGUGCCACUACACCGCUUGUAAGCCUUGUGUGAUGAUCAUUCUCGGCAAGGAAUGUAUUGGUCACAUUCCUUUAAUGACAUGGCACUAAUCACAUCUUGCAUAGUGAUAGCUCAUUGUUACUAUUUGGUAAUCAGUGCGCAUGGUAUAGAUGGUGCCUAGAGUAGCAGGGUUUAGACUAUCUCCAGCAACGUCCCCUAAAUUCUAUCCCCUAAAGGAAUAUUCUCUGUCCUAUACAGCACGCUCUAAAAGAUUCUAUUCUCUAUAUCUUUUUCAUCUCCAACAACGUCCCCUAAAUUCGGUCCUCUAUAUCUAUAGUGUACCGGAUUUUAUAAUACACAUUAUUUUUACAUGUCACUUAUAAAAAAUUAAUUAACUUAUGUUGCGAAAUAAAAAUACUUCUUACAAUACAUUUUCAUUUUAUAUACAAAUUACUCAUCGAUCAUAUUAUUUACAAAAAAAUGUAUUAUGUAUUUCCUAUCAUACGCACGGAAACAAAAAAUCAUUCAUGUGAUCCAAGAAUUAAUUAGAGACUAAUUAAUUUUUAAAACCGACUACAACCAAGCAAUAGCAGACAAAUUUGCAUGGCAUCUGCACGGCAUCUGACAAGCGCAGGAGAAAAAGUAGAGAGAGGAAGAGGCUGGACUGCAUGUGAGAGCAGGAUAGCGGAUGAACAAGUACGCUCUGGCUUUAGCGCUCGUCAAAGUCGUCCGCUAUUUUACAGUUCCAUUUACAGGUUGCUGCUGGAGCCGAUAGCGGACGUCUCAUCCUCUAAAUUUAGAGUACAGGACUAUUUAGGGGAAACAGAAUGCUGAAACCAGAAAGAUGGCACGCGUGUUUUGACAGUGACGGGAAGGCUAUAUGUUUCCGUAAAGCCCUUAAGUUCAUUGUCUUAGGAGGUGUGGAUCCUUCUAUUCGAGCGGAAGUUUGGGAAUUUCUUAUUGGCUGCUACACCUUAAGUACUACAGCGGAAUAUAGGGGAAAACUAAGAGCUGCUCGAAGGGAGAAAUAUCGUUAUUUAAUUAAGCAAUGCCAGAGCAUGCAUACAAGCAUUGGUACAGGUGAGCUUGCAUAUGCUGUUGGAUCAAAGCUGAUGGAUGUCAGGACCUUGCCCAAAGAAACUGAAGGUGGAGAAGUCAGCACAAGUCAGCAAGCUGAACAUGAAGUGCCUUGCAGUUUAGCAGAAAAUUCGAAUUUGAUUUAUGGUUCUGGUUGCACAACGCGGCCCCAUAAAAGGAAAAUUUGUAGUAAAUCAGCUGAAACAGUUGGUUUCAAUCAACAUAAUGAUAACUCUAGAGGUUCUGGAGAUUGUGAUGUCAUUGGUGAACCAAGGUAUGACAGUGAUGCCUUCAUCGAUUUUCCUUCCCUAACUGGUACAAACUUGGUCGCAAAUGGUGACGGGGAUAGCAAUGGAGUUGAAGAAAAUCCUUGCAAUUUCUUGGUCUCUGAACAUAGAGUAAGGCCCCAUGAUGAACACAUGCACAGCUUCCAGAUCAAUAAUAACAUAGAUCUCAUAAUAGAGUCAAAUACAUUCUCCAAUGAUAUAUUUCGACCUAGCAGUAGUGACUCAGCCAUCUUUCACUCAGAUGCGUACAAGCAUGAUAGAUGGUUAGACGAUACUGGCUAUAGUGAAGAAAUUAUAGAUUCCUUGAGGAUAUCUGAUGCACCAGAAUCAGAUUUAGUUGAUGGAAUGAAAUCAAAUGGUUCAAUAGCUGACAAAGAUAGAGUCUCUGAAUGGCUUUGGACACUGCAUCGAAUUGUGGUUGAUGUGGUGAGAACAGAUAGCCACCUUGAUUUCUAUGGAGAAUCAAGGAAUAUGGCUAGAAUGUCUGAUAUACUUGCUGUUUAUGCAUGGGUUGAUCCUUCCACUGGAUACUGUCAAGGUAUGAGUGAUCUGCUGUCACCUUUUGUUGUCAUAUAUGAGGAUGAUGCAGAUGCCUUUUGGUGCUUUGAGAUGCUACUGAGAAGGAUGCGUGAAAAUUUCCAGAUGGAGGGACCAACAGGAGUUAUGAAGCAAUUGCAAGCAUUGUGGAAGAUAAUGGAACUGACAGAUGCUGAAUUAUUUGAACAUUUUUCGGCAAUUGGUGCUGAAAGCCUUCAUUUUGCUUUUCGGAUGCUGCUAGUCCUUUUUCGUCGAGAGCUGUCCUUUGAGGAAUCACUUAUCAUGUGGGAGAUGAUGUGGGCUGCUGAUUUUGAUGAAGAAGCAGUCAGGCAUUUAGAAGAGAACUGCCUAGAACCAUUGCUAGUAGAUCUGAGCAAUGGCUUAUCAUCUGAAGUCAAAGAAGUGCAUCGGAUCAACAGUUCCACAAGAAGAAAACCCAGAACCAGGAAAUGCCAUAGUAGAAAUGGUGAAAUCUGUGGAGCUUGCCACCCUGGAAUGAAAUCUAGUACAAGAAAUCAUCUCUGUGGCUUGUCCGGUGCUACAAUAUGGGCAAGACCUCAGCAGAUGCCACAUCCAAGUGCAAGUGUGCUAGCAAAGGGUGGAGAUUAUGAACUUCCUAUAUUCUGUGUGGCGGCUAUCUUGAUAAUUAACCGCCAGAAGAUAAUAAGAGGGACUCACUCAAUAGAUGAUGCGAUCAAGAUGUUCAAUGAUAAUGUGCUCAAAAUAAAUGUAAAAAGAUGUGUACGCUUGGCAAUCAAGCUAAGGAAGAAGUACUUGUACAAGUCAUUGAAAGGUGGCUCUAGUGAUGAUAAAGAAAGCUGAAGAACCUGCACUUCCCUUGUAGAAAAAACUAGAUAUUUCUCCAUCAUGCAUUGCUAUCUAGGUGUGCUGGAUCAGUAUUGACCUGAAGUAUGGUACAUGUCCAAGAUCCGGCAUUAUUCAGGAUUGCAAGGCAAUCUGUACAUAUUAUACUUGAAAACAACAGAUGAAGCUGUGGAAUUAAAGAAAAGAAAUCAAGUCCACUGAAUGGUUGUAUUUCUGGUGGUGUCAUUGUUUUUUUAUUCCCAUUUGGCAGGGUAUCAUGUCCUCAAUUACUGUAUUUAUGAUAUCGAGGGUUUGACGGUAGAGUGGCUUGUGCAUGGCAUGCCUACCACGCCUAUAAAAGAAUGAAAAGUGAAAGUGUCUAGGCGUCUAGCUCCUAGUUGAGUUUUGGUGAUUAAUAGUAAUAUAAGAUUAUUGAAUUAUAAUGACUAAAGUGUGUUCGUAGAAAGAAUGAGUUAGGUCACGAUAAUAUAGAUUGAUUGGCUUAUAUGGUCUUUGUGCCUCUAAUCAAUUGUUGGAUUUUAACGGUUGAACGGAAAGGUUAAGUAUUUGCUAGUUUCUAGUGUCAAUGGAGUUAUUUGAUAUUUGUAGUA